rnacentral:rRNA from 1 species
GAUGAACGCUGGCGGCGUGCCUAAUACAUGCAAGUCGAGCGAACAGAUGAUGAGCUUUCUCCUCUGACGUUAGCGGCGGACGGGUGAGUAACACGUGGUUAACCUACCUAUAAGUCUGGGAUAACUUCGGGAAACCGGAGCUAAUACCGGAUAAUAUAUUGAACCGCAUGGUUCAAUAGUGAAAGACGGUUUUGCUGUCACUUAUAGAUGGAUCCGCGCCGCAUUAGCUAGUUGGUAAGGUAACGGCUUACCAAGGCAACGAUGCGUAGCCGACCUGAGAGGGGGAGAGGACACACUGGAACUGAGAAACGGAAAAGACACCUACGGGAGGAAGCAGUAGGGAAUAUUCGGAAAUGGGCGAAAGCGUGACGGAGAAACGCCGCGUGAGUGAAGAAGGUCUUCGGAUCGUAAAACUCUGUUAUUAGGGAAGAACAAAUGUGUAAGUAAAUAUGCAGGUAUUGACGGUACCUAAUCAGAAAGCCACGGCUAACUACGUG